UAGCGACUGUACAGGCAGUAAGUUUAUUUUUUGGAUGGAGCGGCUCUUGCUCCAU
rnacentral:tRNA from 1 species